GGUGUUAUUAAGGAAAAAAAAAAAGUGAUUCUGCAACGUACUGGAACUAGAUCUGUUUGGUUCCCCAUUUGCAGCAAAUUGCAUCAGCUAGUGUGGUGCCUGCGACUGGAUUGAGAAACACAAGUGGAAAUGCUAUCAGCAUGGAUAGGUUGCCUAAAGAAAUGAAUGAUAUGAAGAUAAGAGAUGACAAGGAAAUGGAAACUGCUGUGGUCAAUGGAAAUGGCACAGAGACGGGUCAUAUAAUCGUGACAACUAUUGGGGGUAGAAAUGGCCAACCAAAGCAGGUAAUCACUACAUGAAUUCUAAAAUAAUCAGUGCUUGUUGUUCACUAAACUUGUUGCUCACCUCACCUUAUCCCUUGCUUUCAGGAUUAUUUGGUAUUAGUUAUCAAUUAACAUUAAUAUUUUUUAGCCAACUCAUCAAAAUUUAAGAUGUGUAUUUCAGAAACAAUAGAUGAUGAGAGUAUUAGCGUGUUGGAAGUACCUAGCCGGUGCAUGAAGGCAAUAUGAUGUUAGAAGAUUUCCUCACCCCAACUGAGAUGAAAGAUGGACUCACAAACCUUGCUAGAGUCAAAGAGCUAGUUGCUGUUAUGUAGAGGCAGAGAGAAAAUAUUACGAAGAAUGUAGUUAGACGGGCAUAGGUUUCUCAACCAAUGGCUCCAAGUGCAGUGGUGGCACAAGUGACAGUUCUGUGAAAGAAUCAAUUAGUGCAGUGCUAGGAGCACUUGAGAAAGUGCCUCUAGAUAAGAGCUUAACUACUUCAGGAAUUGUGGAAACUGUCAAACAUCUCGUUGGCAAUAGGAGCUUGACAGUCCAGGAGAGGGCAAGAACUUUGUUUGAUAGAUGGAUUUGUUUUUAUUUAUUUAUUUAUAUUGAAGACCAUUUUCAAUUUAUUGUAAUAAAUAUAUAUUUUUUAAUUGUCUA